UACGGAGGGUGCAAGCGUUAUCCGGAUUUACUGGGUUUAAAGGGUGCGUAGGCGGGCUAUUAAGUCAGUGGUGAAAUCCCGGGGCUCAACCUCGGAACUGCCAUUGAUACUAUUAGCCUUGAAUUAUGUUGAGGUUGGCGGAAUAUAACAUGUAGCGGUGAAAUGCUUAGAUAUGUUAUGGAACACCGAUUGCGAAGGCAGCUGGCUAAACAUAUAUUGACGCUGAGGCACGAAAGCGUGGGUAGCGAACAGG
rnacentral:rRNA from 1 species